UUACAUAAGGGAUAGUAACGGAAAUUUUUUUAGGGGAAUGGCAAAAUCGCCAGGAAAAAAAGAUUGUAGUGGAUAGCCCGGACCCGA
rnacentral:sRNA from 1 species